UUAGUGCCCUCAUAUAAGAGAACCCCAAAACUCCCUGUCCCUUCCACCAUGUGAGGACACAGUAGGAAAUUGGCUGCCUGCAAACAGGAAAAGGCCCCUCAAUGGAAACUGACCAUGCUGGCAUGCUGUUCUCAAACCUAGCCUGCAGAACUAUGAGAAAUAAAUUUCCAUGGUUUUAAGCCACCCAGUCAAUGGUAUUUUGUUACAGCAGCAUGAAUAAGACAAUCAGCCAGAUCUGAUUUAUCAACCAACUCACCUAAGAUACAUAAGCAAGGUAGCCAGAGCCAGUCAAGACCAGGCCAGAUGUGUAGGUCUUCCCAGCCAAUCCACAGAUACAUAAACAAGAAGGCGUGUUUAUUAUUGUAAAGCACAGAGGUUUUGUGCAUGUUUUUAAGCAGCAUUAUUGUGGCCAUAGAUUACCAAUCAAAAGCUUAACAACAAUCCUACAGGGUAGACAUGACUUUUUUUGUUUAAAUGUCAACCAAUAUGAAAGCAGAAGAGGUUAAACGAUUUGGCCAAGAUCUCACAUUACACAUUCGAUUGGAACCCAGGGAUAUCUAAUUCCAUGGUUUUAAUUCUAUAAUUUACGGAUUAAUUUUCCUUAGAUCCUUGAUACUUAUUCUUUAUUGACUAGUGACUUUUAGUGGAUAAUUUGAUCAUGUUGUCUUCCUCCUUAAGGUACUAUAUCUUGUUUAAAUUUUAUGUUUGCAGAGCCUGGAGUUUUGUAAUUAAGUAAAUAUUAAGGAUAUGGAACAUAAAGUAGAGAGAAUGUAUCAGAAAAAGCUACAGAUAAAAUACACUAAAGGAAAGACACGAGGAAGAAGUUGAGUCAAUAUAUGUUUGAGAACACCCUAAUAUCCUUUGGGACGUUGGGUGUAUUUAUAAAAAGGAGAGUGGAGAGUGUUCUAGAAGAACCCCAGAUUUUUCCAAGAGAGCACACAGAGAAUAAUUUCACCAGAAAGUACCUGCACAUAAUUCAGAGGACAAGGGUGCUUCAAGGGGAAGGAGAAAGUGAAGAGAAGAAAUAGAAGAUAGAAAGAAAUCAAGAUAAGCUUUGCCUACAGUGUCUUUACAGACUUUGAGAGGGUGGAAAGAGUAAAUGUAACAUGGAGCUGGGUGCACACUAUGGGAGGUAUGCUUCCUAUACACUGUCUUCCUUACCUUUUUAAGGGUGAGUGUUACAGAUCUACUCUGAUAUCCUGAUAAAAGCUACAGACCUUCUUGUCAAAAAAAAAAAAAUGCAUACACACACACACACACAUACUUGGUUUCAGGGAAUUUGGGGUGUUCACAGGUUCCUUGAUGUCCAUUCACAGACCCCACUUCAGGGAAACAGCCUAACAUGUAGAAGAGUUCAAGAUCAGAACUAGGAUGGUAAGGGAUAUUACAUUACAAAGAACAAUGGUCUUGGGUCUCUUAUUUCUAACAAUCUCAUAGGGAAUAAGAAGAUUUUGGUAAAAGUGAACAUUUAUUGAAGAUUUUUGCACUUUCACUGAUAUGUAAUGUUUAUACAUAUUUCUGGGCUACAUGUCAUAUUUUGUUACAUAUAUAAAAUGUGUAAUGAUCAAGUUACAGUAUUAGGGUAUCUAUCACCUUGUGUAUUUAUCAUUUCUAUGUGAUGGAAACAUUUCAAGUCCUCUCU